UCCUUAGUCUAGCCCACUCAAGGCGUUUGGGAGAAUCCGUGGUUAAUAACAGGGUCACACUCCCGGAACCUCUAACAGCCGCUGGAAGGUGCAAGGUUAUUUUUCUCCACCAUAAAGACAGAAACAACGUGCUCAGUGACAGUGUGACGCCCGACUCAGGGAAUCGCGUCCCGAUUCCUGCAAUGCUCAUGUGUGAAGACAUCCCACUCUCUAGCGUGAGGAAAUUGCUCUUACUGAACUGCCAAGCCAGUCAAAGCCUUCUUGCCUUCCUUUGGGUGAAGGAAGGAAAUCCAGCAGAGGCGGCUGAGCACAGGGAGUGACAGACGGUGAGAGGUCUGAAAAGAGGAAUCCGUUGGACACCACGGAAAGAGAAUCGUGUCAAGGGGGACGAGGCAGUCCACGAUACCAGUGCUGCUGAAGGUGCAAAAUAUGUAUGGAGAAAGACUGGACAGUCCCUCGGGGUGAAAGGCUACGCAGCUCUUGGCUGUGGUCAGAACAGGCCCCAGCAGCUUCCCAAGGAUGUCCUGAGAGGCCUGAAGCAAAGGCUCUGUCAUGGAAGAUCAGGAACCUGAGCUGUAAGCCAACAGCUACAAUAACAACAGCAAACCUCUGCUCCGCAGCCAAGGAGCCACUAGUGAAGGGCAAAGGGGACCUAAACGGAGGGUUACAACAGCAAGGGCUAUCACAGACAGUCCUCGGAGCCCUGGCCAUUUCCUCUGAAGGACCAGAGGUCGGGGACUUUAAAGGCGAAUUUUGACUUUUCAAAGUGAAACUGGGGCCCUGUGUGAACAGUGUGGCAUGGGAAGCUCCUCUCGGUGAUGCAGAUUGGAACGCAUGUUUCUUAAGCACAAAAUCAAAGACCCUUUGGUCCAAGCUGCUUUUUCUGUUGGUUGACUGGUUGGUUCAUUCAGCUAAAGUAAGGGGUGGAGUGCAGGGUGAACCUGGGGGAGAUACCAAUGGGCCUCAGGCCACUACUGCUGUAUAGAAGAAUAAAGGGGGGCCUGGAGAGAUGGCUCAGAGAUUACGAGCACGGACUGCUCUUCCAGAGGUCCUGAGUUCAAUUCCCAGCGCCCACAUGGUGGCUCACACCCAUCUGUAAUGAGAUCUGGCACCCUCUUCUGUAUACAUAAAAAAUAAAUAAAUUUUUAAAAAAAGAGUAAAGGGAUGAAAGAGCAGCCACAAGCAGCUUUGGGGAUCCUGGGAGUCUCCAGUGUGCCCUGUCCAAGCUUCCCAGCAUCACACUUCCUCCAACAAGGCCAUGCCUACUCCACAAAGCCUCACCUAAUAGUACCACUCCCUUUGGGGGCCAUUUUCUUUCAAAGCACCAUAGCACGAGACCAGAAAUGUCCAUCCAGACCCUUACUACUUCCUCUCUAACUGCAAGAACAUACUCUAACAUCUUGCUUCAUUUUUGUGAUUCGGUAGACACUGCCGUUCCUCCAGUUACUUCACAGUCGCAAAAACACUUCACAUUUUGUGUGUUUAUGGUGUAUGUGUGGGUGUACAGUGUGUGUGUAUGUGUGUAUGGGAUGUGUGUAUAAUGUGUGUGUGUGUGUGUGUGUGUGUGUGUGUGUGUGUGUGUGGUGUAUGCACGUGUAUGAGUGUGAAAUAGUAGUAUCAGGGUGUACUUGUGGAAACAGGACAGCCUUGGGUGUUGAUCGUUGCCUUCUUCCUUGUCUGAUAUAAGUUGGUCUCUGCUACCUGGCUCAUGACCUUCCUGGCGUAACAGUCACGUGCUGCCAUGACUGGCUUCACACAGAUUCUGGGGAUCCAUACACCUGGUCCUCAUGUUGGAGGACAGCAUACCCUUCUCUACUGUACCAUCUCCUUGGGUACCCUCACCCACAUUUUUAUAGAUUUAAAAUGUAUGUUAACUCAGGUACUCUACCUCAGCUGUCCUUCACAAAUGCCCUUCAGUGAGGAAAUGAUUUGCGUUUCAUGGAUGAGGAAACACAUUUCAAAAAGGUGGGAUGACCUAUGGAGGCCACCUAGAAUAUAAGUGGAACGGCUGGUAGGCAAACGCGGGCUUUCUUAUUCUUUCUCACCACAUGAAACCCGGUCAAAGCAGGGAGUAAGUACACGGUUGGAUCUUCCACUGACUUAGGUCUCCCUUUCCUGGCCCAUCAUGUCACAAACUUCUGCAGACAGUUCCCCUGCACCUCAGUGAGUAAGAACACAGCUGGCAUCCCACUUUCCACUGCCACCAGCGCGGACGACAGUGUGAGCCCCCCAUCUGGCACCAGCAUGUCAGAUAGGAAAAGCAGUCAGCUGGCAUGGACCAGUCUCCAAGAGGGAAAACUGAGUCAUCUGUUUGUCGCUGGUUUCCAUUCUAAACCCCUCUCCGUCGAUGGAUGGCCAACUGCUCCAGACCUUUGGGUGACUCACUCACGCUGGCAGCUUGUCUGUGGUUUUGAUUUAGUUCCAGCAGACCCAGUUUCCUGCGUCCUCCCGCUUCAGAAACUGUCACAGUGGACUUUGCGAGCAUUCAAAGAGGAAAAGACUGGGAUGGCUUUACCAACUGUUCUCCAUGUGCUUUCAGUCCUGAAGAUGGGAGCUCUGAACUGGGGCCUACACGAAAAUGUGUCCCACACUAUCUUUACUUAUUUGAUUUUUGCUUUGUCAUUUUUUUCUUUAAAGACAUUGUCAAGUAGCCCAGGCUGGCCUCAAAUUCACAAACAAAGAGCAAAAAAAUAUGUAAAUUAGUAUGAGGUUCAACUUGCAAAAAGGUAAUAUGUCUAUUUUUCUUAAAUGAAGGACAAACAGGGUGUGGUGGUGCAUGCCUUUAAUCCCAGCACUAGGGAGGCAGAGGCAGGAGGAUUUUUGAGUUUGAGGCCAGCCUGGUCUACAAAGCAAGUUCCAGGACAGUCAGGGCUACAUAGAGAAAUCCUGUCUAGAAAAAGCAAUAGAUAAAUAAUAAUAAAACAAACACAGGAGGCUGAGUCCCAUAGAGCCACAGUUUGGUCAUUGUGCAAACAUCACGAAGUACACUUACACAACCCAAAAUGGCUCUGAUGUCACUAGUGACAUCAUCAUAGAGAUCCAUCAUUUUUGACCACUGAUCCAAACAUUACACAAUGCAUGACUGUGUACAUGUGUAUAAUACUUUAAAGCAAUAAACAACUGUAACAUUUACUGUUUGUCAAAGAAUGGCUUACUUCUAUGAAAUUCUUUGAUGAAAUCUUGAAUAAGUGUUUCCAUCAGAUAAAUGUACCAAUGUGAUCUUGCUGAGGGAAAGACUGACUAAUGGCUUCAAGAGGCAGACAUCGGUGAGUUAACUCAGAAAAGUUACACCACCUCAGGCCAACCGAAUGCAGAUGUGCCCUGAACCCCAAGAUCUCAGACACCUCACUUGGUCUGUUUUUCAGCUGCACUCAGUCCACAGUGAGAAGACAGUGUGUUACAUGACUUGGGUGCUCACCACAGCUGCCUAGCUAAGAAACUGUAACAUCUGCUAGGUCAGACUAAGGUUGAAGAGUUGUGACCUACGGGGAACACUGCCAUUUCCCAUGGGUAGCUGCCCCGGGAUUUACUCUCUUCUUUCUCCACUGGUCUGGUCCUGUGGGCUGUGCUCUCUCACAUUCACAACAGGUCACGAAAAUCUUUUCUAUUGCAGUUCCUCAUCAUUUACUAAAUAAAUCAAAUCCUAAAUAAAUCUGUCAACACUGCCUACAGGUGUGUCCAUAUUCUCCUGAAAUUAUAUGUUCCAAUGUUAUAAUUAUACUCCAAAUGCAAUUUUGACUAAGGGUGACUUCAACAUCAUUCCAAUGGAGUCUGCUAGACACUGGAGAAAACUUGAAUAGAAUUAAAUGCAUUAUUAAUAAUGUUUUAUCAGAUAAUAUCUUAGUCCAAAUAAGAUAAGGCUGUGGUUCAGUGGUAGAGCACUAACCUGUAAUAUAUGAGGCCCUGGAUCCAAUGCCCAGCAUUGCAAAUAAUAAGUAAAUAAAAAUCAGAUAAAAACAAUCUCCCUUUAACGUAAAACGUAGUUUAAAACAGUGUGGUGGAGAUGUGCCGGCUUGGUGGUACACACCUUUAAUUUCAGUACUUGAGAGGCAGAGGCAGAAGGAUCUGUUGUGGAAUAUUAGUUGAAGAUGUGCCACAUUCAUUUAUGCUGUGGAAUAUUUAAUGAUACAAAGAUGUGCUGCAUUCAUUUACGCUGUGGAAUAUUUAAUGAUACAAAGAUGUGCUGCAUUCUUUUAUGUUGCAUUUGUUUAACUCUGUGAAGCUGUGUUACUUUGCCUGUCUAAAACAUCUGACUGGUCUAAUAAAGAGCUGAACAGCCAAUAGCUAGGCAGGGGAGAGAAAAAGGCGGGGCUGCCAGGCAGAGAGAAUAAAUAGAAGAACAAGAAGAGGAGGAGUGAGAAAAGGAGGAGAGGAAGAUGCCAGGGGCCAGUUACUCAGCCACACAGCCAGCCAUGAAAUCAGAAGGAAAGAAAGAUAUAUAGAAUAAAGAAAGGUAAAAAGUCCAGAGGCAAAACAUAGAAGAGAUGGGAUAAUUUAAGUUAGAAAAACUGGCUAGAAAUAAGCCACACUAAGGCCAGAUAUUCAUAAGUAAGAUUAGGUCUCUGUGUAUUUAUUUGGGAGCUGGGUGGUGGGCCUCCAAAGAGAAAAAAAAACCAACAACAAACAAAAACAAAACAAUAAAACCCAAUUAUAUGGAUCUCUCAGUCUGAGGCUAGUCUGGUUUACAGAGCUAGUUCCAGGACAGUCAGAGCUACACAGAAAAACUCUGUCUGGAAAACAAAAAAUCAAACAAAAACAAACAUUAUGAAAUCAUCGAGGAAAGAAGGGACAUAUUCAGUGGGUAACCAAAAUUUGCAGCUAAUACAACCCCCACAACCACUUUAUGGCAUAAAGUGUGGUUGCCACAUGAAGUCUGACAGGAUUCCAAGCAGUUCAGGAUUUUCUCCGGAUUGAGCUUUACUUUGGGGAGCAAAUUAGCAUCAUCUGCUAAAUAUUUAGCUCAAGCCACUUGUGUACCUGAAACCCCAGCAUCUGGGAGAUCCAGGCUGCCUGGUAAAAGCAUCUCUUUUUAAACAAUUAGACUCACAGUUGCGUUCCUUGAACAGUCAUAGUUUUAAAAGAGGGGCCAAAGUGUCUGUGGAUGAUCAUGUUUUCUCACAAAGCCUGAAGCUCCUGAUCAGGUUGGGCUAGCUGGUCAUCGAGCUCCAGGAAUUCACCUGUCCUGGCCUCGCUGGCACUGGGAUUCCAGGUGCAUAGCUUCACCUGGCUUUUGAUGUGGGCGGUAGGCACCAAACUCAGGUCUUUAUGCUUGUGUGGUGAGCACUGGACUGAAUGUGCUAGCUUCCCAGGCCUCAAACUCUUUUUACAAUUUGUGUGUAUUAAAGUAACUGUAUUUUUCUCCCUUUAAGAUAAUGUGGUCAAUCACAUGGAACAAUUUUUCCAACUCUAUGGUAAAUUGAACUAAGCCAGUGAGAAUUCAAAUGAGCCCUUAUAUCACGGGAUAGCCACAAACCAUACUAUCCUUUUUCUACCUUGAUAGUUUCUUUUCGAACAGGCAGUGUCUUUAUGAACUCACUCUGUAGACCAGGCUGGCCUCAAACUCUCAAAGAUACGCCUGCCUCUGCCUGGGAUUAAAGGCAUGUACUAUCACCACCAGGCAGGUAAUUUUAUCUUUAAAGUUUUAAAAAUAGACUCAAUUUUUACAAGUAGAUGGGGACUCUGCAGAUUUCCAGUUUUAAAAUGACUCGUGUUGUGUUCAGGUGCAGUCCAGAGCAGGACAGAGAUGAAGUCCUCUACAGCUUUCUACCUUACUCCAUUGAGACAGAGUUUCUCACAGAACUGGAUGUUUGGCUUUGGGCUAGGCUGGCCAGCCAAUGAACUCUCGAGGUGUGCCUGGACUGAACGUGCUAGCUUCCCAGGCCUCAAACUCUUUUUACAAUUUGUGUGUAUUAAAGUAACUGUAUUUUUCUCCCUUUAAGAUAAUGUGUUCAAUUACAUGGAACAAUUUUCUAAUUCCAGUGCUGGGGUUGGUUCCAAGCAAGUGCAGUCAUGCCUGGGUUUGUACAUAGAUACCGGGGAUCCGAACUCAGGUCUUCAGGCUUGCAGAACAAGAGCUCUUAUCCACCAAGCCAUCUCCCUAGUUCAUUUUCACUAAUUUUGUCUGGAUUUUUUUUGGUCCUUAAUUUUGUUCUUGUUCAAAUACUCAAACUGAGGUUGCUCACGGCAUAUUUCAAAUGUUUAAUUCUCUAGGAAAAGUUAGUUUUUCAAUUCGAUACUAUUUUUCCUUUUAAAAAUUAAUUUUACUAAUUUAUCAAUUUUCCUAAGCUUUUUAAAACUUAGCUUUAUCGUUUUAAAGUUGGUGUUCUAUUAACGAAUUUCUACUCUUUUAUUUCCUUUUCUAUUGUUCUCUUCUGCCAUACUGGGCGUCUUCGGUGCACAUAUGUGAGGUGAGCACUCCACCACCAUUGAGCAGUCUCCGUUCCCUGACCCUUUCUAGUCUUUUGGCAUCUAGAGAUCAAAACUCCUAAUGUAGAAUAAUUAUUCUGAUGCAGCUGCAGUCCCCAACUUUCGGCAUGACUCAGUUUAGUAUUUGGUUUAAAAUACUGUUUAUUUCCUCUUUGAGCCAUGACUUAGAGGUGUGUUAAUUUCUAAGCAGUUCAGGCAAAUCUGAGGAUUCUACUCAUCUUUUGUUACUAACUUCCAGCACAUUUUCUGAGGUUGGAGAGCGUAUUCUGAAUUAUUUAAAUCCUCUGACAUGUUCGGAGGCUUUCUUUAUGGCCCGUUUUCAGUCUUGUUGACUUUUUGAUACAAGCGUCAAUGGGACAGGAAUGUACCAUCUGGCCAGUGUCACCUGCAUCUCAGGGGACUUGCUGGUGCUGUUACUACUUCUGGUCUCCCGAGCUGUGCUGCAGUGACCCUGGGACUUUGGGUUGACUCAGUUUUCCUCCGUCUUCUUUGUCAUGUGUAUUUAGAAACAGUGUUGUUUAGAUGGAUGGAACUUUGAUGAUGUGACUUUUCAGUUGUAAAUCUUCUCUUGAGUUGUGUUUUAUUUGAAGUUUGUUUCUUACGACAUAGUAGAGUCACAUCGGUGUUUCAGUUGUUGUCACCCACAUCUUUCUGUCCUUCUGUUUCCUGGGCAGCUUUAUUUGGAAAGUCUCUUGUAAACAGGAAGUAUGUUAGGUCUUUACCCCUCUCUAGUCCAACAAUCUUAGUUUACUGAAGUAUUUACCUAACUUGGAUUCAAUUACUCAUCUGAGUGGGGUUUUCUCUACCAUCGAACUAUUUCUUUCCUCUUCGAUCUUGCCUUCUUUUGGAUUACCCAAGUAACCCCACCUCAGUUAAAGUCCUCAAGUACUUAAUUUUCCCUACUUAACUUUUAAAAUAGUAUAAGCUUUGAUUAAAUUUAAUACAAACCAUUACUUUCAAUACUCCUUGAUGUUGACAGAACAUUUUCAUAUUUAACUCCAUCGUGGCUGUCAUGUGUUCGAAGUCAACAUCAAACUCCAAUGCUCACUUGUUUAUUUAUAGACGUCUCCAUUCUUUCGUGCUUUGCUGUAUUUCUGCCUAGGAUUUUUUUUCCUUAAGCCAUUCAUUUUAAUCUUUGCUGUCACUUCUUUUUUCCAAAUAGAGUUCUUACCACAUUGCCUGGCACUGGCCUUGAACUCUUCUGCUCAAGAGGUCCUCCUGGCUCAGGCGCAUGACUAUCUGGGAUUACCAGCAAGUGCCACUCAUCUGCCAUCAUCUGUGACACUUGAGAACUACUACACUCCAGGCUUCCAAGUCAAGUCUUAUUUUCUCUAACCUGCCCAAUUUUACAUUUACGAUGGGUCGCUAAUCCCUGCUGUGUUCCUAAAAAUAAACUAGAAUUUCCAUCAUUAAUCCUAAAGAUAGUUUGUCUCUUGGACUGCAGACCCUUUCCCUGAUUAUGAGCAAAAGCCAAACAUCCCCUUCACAUCUUGUUCUAUGCUUAAAUCUCUAAAAGCUGUGCUAGCCUUGCUUCUCCAGCUGUUCUUGGGGAGAGAAUGGAGGAGUUGGCUUGUUAACCCAUCAUCUGGUAUGUUCUCUGGCCAAGUGUAACCUGCACAACUCACCAUAACCCAGGAAAACUUAAGCAUUUUAGGUGAAAACUUGAAGUAAAUUUUUAUAUGCACACACUGAAAGUGACCUCAGAGUUGGGAUAUGCUUUUAUUUCAGUAUCCUAGCAACCAGAAAGAAAAAUCUCUAAGAAUGAUUGGUAGCUGCCUUUGCUUUAAAAAGAUCAAGUUUUAGGAAUGAGGUAGUUUAUAACAAAGACAUCUGAGUUCACCUUUUGCUAAUUAUAUACUUAACAUCAGUGUUGUCUAUUUGCUUGUGUGAAAAGGCAGUUAAGCCCGUCUCAAAACUAUUAAAUAAGCCGGGCAGUGGUGGCACACGCCUUUAAUCCCAGCACUCAGGAGGCAGAGCCAGGAGGAUCUUUGUGAGGUCAAGGCCAGUCUGGUCUACAGAGUGAGAUCCAGGACAGGCACCAAAACUACACAGAGAAACCCUGUCUUGAAAAACCAAAACCAAACCAAACAAACAAACAAACUACAAAGUGGACUUUUUUUAAAGAGUGCAAUAGAAAUGAGGACUUACCAGAGAGCAACUAUAACAGGCUGUAUGCCAGAGGUUCUCAACCUGUGGGUCACUACCCCUUCAGAACCCCCCCCCCCAAAUUUGCAAUUCAUAACAGUAGCAAAAUUAUUUAUGAAGUAGCAAUGAAAAUAAUUUUAUGGUUUGUGGUCACCACAACACGAGGAACUGUAUUAAAGGGUUGUGACAUGAGGAAGGUUGAGAAUCACUGUGUGCCUACAACCAUGAGUAAGCCCUUACUGUUCAGUUAGGUCCAGCCUGCUUGCUCUCUACAGCUCAGAGCCACAUUCACUUACCAACCAGCACUGCCUAGACAGCAGGCGGCUUCAAGUCUAGUGAGGCUGUUAUGGUUUGGACCUACAGUGUCUCCUGAAGGCGGCGUGUUGAAGGCUUGCUCUCAGUGCAGCCUUGUCCAGAGGUGCCUGGAUCACGGCGGCUUUCAUCCACGGACAGGUCUAUAGCUAAAUGGACUACUACAAAGUGAUGGAAAACAGGAGGAGGGGCCUGGUUGGAGGUAGUGGGUCACACGAGGUGCACCAUUGAAAGGCUAGUCCAUUGUCCUCCCCCUGACGGCCACGAGGCCAGCAGCCGCCUCUGCUACCUACUCCCCUGUUGUGAAAAUGUCUCAGCUCAGACCCAACACAAUGGAGCCAGGCAACCACCAACUGAAACCCGUGAGGCCAUGAGCUCAAACCAACCUUGCCGCCUUCGUCUGUCUCAGGCAUUUUGUCACUAUAAAAAAGGCACCAUCUACCCUUCUUUUUCACCAAGGAAGACUUAAAGCACCCUGUAACAAGUGCACAGGAACACAGCCAGAAAGCCGAGGCGGGUUUUCGUUGAGGUACUGCUACUGCUCAUAAGCUAUUUAUGUGAAAAGCCUAAGACAAACCCUAAAAGAAAAUCUCUAACUUGGAAACAUGCCUAAUUAAAUCUUCUACACUAAUUUUUUGAAAUGUUAAUUUUAUACUGGCAAAGUAAUUACACGGGUUGUAGACGAUUCAAACCACAUACGGCUUUCACAUAAAAGCUUUCUGCAGUCAAUAUUCAGUAACUGCUCAUUUUAAAAAGAUUGCAAGCUGCUUUCUUCCCUUCCCUCUGGGCCUACAAUUCUGAGUUCUGAGGGUUGACAUUAGGGGGUCACAGACUCAGUGUGGUCUGGGAAGAUGUGGUAGAAAUCAGAUCUUUGAGUUUGGUUUUGAGAUAGGGUCUCACUGUACAGCCCUGGCUGGCCUGGAACUCUCUUUGUAGACCAGGCUGGCCUCGAACUCAGAGAGCUCCACCUGUCUCUGCCUCCCAAAAGAUCAGAGUUCUGAAUGGCUUGGGAUAAGUGUAGUCAGAGCCAGUGCGGCUGCGACUGAGGACCCAUCUAGCAGAGAUGAGAUGCCUAGUGGGGAGGGAUUGUCAAGUAUGGAAAGGAUGAACUACAUUAAGUGCUCAGAACUUCAAUUUUAUCUAAAGGAGCAUGAGCUUCUUGGAAAAUGCCCAAUUCUUGAUCUGAGAUAUGGAAAAGGCCAGGUGACUUUCCAACAAUUAACAUACCCACUUAAAUCAAGUCAGGAGGCAGUAUCAAAGGCACACACGUCACCUUGAGAAGACUUCCACAAAUCAAUUCUGGGGACUUGCAGUACUAAAAUAAAGGACAACACAUGGUAAUGUAUUCUGUGAAGGAGGAAUCUAGGAGUCUCUACUGACGGAUAUGGACAAAGGGAUAGUUCUUCCUUACAGCAAAGUCCUAAAGUCAUCAACUUGCCAUCUGGUGACUGACUUAGACGAGGAUUGCCAAUGGACUCAAAACUAGCUGUUGGUAAUCAGUGAAACACAGUUUUUAGGAAUCUCCUCCCAAACUGCUUACACUUUAACACUUCCACCUUUUACUGUGUGUGACGUGUGCUUGUGUACAGACACGUGCAUGUCAUGGUGUAUGGUGAGGGUCAGAGGACAGCUGUGUGGAAUGCUUCUCUCCUUCCACUUUUACGUGGGUUCCAGGAUUGAACACAGAUCAUCAGAUGUGUACUGCAAGAGUCUUCACUUACUGAACCCCAAAGUACUUCUUAAUUACUAGUUUUACAAAGGAAAAGCUCCCUGGAUUUUAUCCUAAUCAAAUGACCAAAGACAAUAGAUCCAGGACAAAUAGAUAUUACUGAUCUCCUGGUAUAGCAAAAAUACAGAACCAUUCCUGUAAUAUUUUUGACAAAAUGUGUGUCCUGACUCCACCUGUGAACAAACAGCACAUGAACCCAAACUGAUACUUAAAUAAUUUGGUCUGUGCCCCUUAAGUAUCAAGGUCAUGAGGUCAAAUACCAAAGAACUAUUCUAGAUUGGAGACCAAAGAAAGAGGACAACUAAAUGCAUCCUGUGACCUAGGACUGGGCUAAAGGCACAGACAGGAACAUUAAUGGGGGCAACCAGUGAAAUUUGAUCUAUAGAGUAGAUGUCACUAUUAUGACAAUUUAAACCUCCUGAAUUUAAUGGGUGUACUAUGGUCAUCUACAAGUAGAGGUUUCCAAUUCAUAUAAUAGAGAACUCUGUAAAUGUCUUGGUAUGAGCUAAAAUUUUCUCCUCUGGACAUCUUUCAUUAGAUUUUAGAGUCUUCAACUUUUAUUCUAUUGAAGAAAUGAAGUCCUAAAAACUUUCAUUUCUGUUAGUUGCUGCUUUACGGGAAUUCAACUGACUUUUGUAUACUGAUUGUGAAUGUAAGAACUUUGCCAGACUGUGGAUCUUAACUGACUCAUCUACACAUCCAAUAACAUCAAUGCACAAAAAUUAUCUCCUAUUAUUAGGAAAGGGAAAAAACAGAAUUACAUGAAGCAUAACUUACUUAAAAAAUACAUGGCAGUUUGAAUUUGAAGGGAUGUGUAGUUAUAGAAAUGCUACAACACAGUGAUGGCUGCGGAUAGUGUUGUCACGGUCCAUCUAAAGUCCAAAGGGAGUGAGGUGCAAGUCCAUCUGCUUGUGAGCUCACUAGGCCAGUCCCCACCGGGACCAUAGUAUCUCCACAGCAAAAGAAUUAGCUUGCCUAGGCUAUAUCAAAGUCAUUUAAAAUAACCACAAGUUCUGCUAAGCCCAUUUAGGAAGUAUGAUCAAUUUUCCUAACUGCUGGCCAGAAAUUUCCAUAAAGCUUUCUGGUGGUCUGAAAGCUCUUUUCCUGGACUCCUAGCUCCUACCCUUUCCCCUUGCUCACAUCGAUUUCCUUCGUCAUAAAGUAACUCCCCAGUGGGUGGCUGCCUCUGUAUUGGGUGGCAGGCACAGUACAAACUGUGGGCACCCCUUCUUCUCAGAAGCCUGCUUACUGCUCCCAGGAAAACAGAAUGGGCUGGACAAGCCCUAAAGGUAGCCCCAAAGGGGAAUUAUCACUUAUGAAGUGGGCAGAGAGGCAGCUUUAUGUCACGAUAUAUUCAUUAGUGACUGGGCUGUCUCCACAUAAUCCAACUGGAGUUAACAGUACAUUUUACAAGUCUUAGUGUGGGAUGGUGAAGAAGUUGUGGAGAUGCCUAGCUAUGCACACCUGCAUAACAAUGUGAACAGGCUUACUUACUGCUCCUGAACCACACAUAACAAUGAUUCACACGGUGAUCUUUAGGUGUUUUCACAGUAAGAAUUUUUAGAGGGGUAUUUGUUGUUACUGCUCUCUGAUAAUACCGAGUGCUCUCACAGUUGCUGAGAGCGCCAAACAUCAAAAUAGGACAGCGCUUUUGUUGUAGGUUUGACUCUGCUGUGACGUCUGUGGGACUUGGAAGUGCGUCACCUAAGUCUCUAUUGCCAUCAGUGGCAGGGGAGUAACAGCAUGCUCACCUGCCCACUACAGGUUGCUAUGAAAAUUCAUAUAGAAACUUGUAAAGGUUGCAGCAUAUAGAAGGGGCUCAAUAAAUGUUGGCUGAUUUCAUUUUCAUUUUAGGUUUUCACAGCAAUAGGGUGUGCAAUAAGGAAUGAAAACAAAGUUUCAUCAUGAAAAUGCUGGUUACUCAUUCCUCCCUGGUUCAGAAUGGCACAGACUCCAACACACCUUGUCACAAAACACUCCAUGUUGUAGUUAUGGGAUGCAGGACCCAAGUGCUGACCCCUAAGUCAAUGGUUAAUAACAUCAAAGAUCACCAGACAAGCCAUGAGAACCUGAAAUACUUUAACAAGUGGAUAUGUACAUGUAUUUAUCAAAUACACAAGGUCAUACAAAAGCGUAAUAUAAUUCACACAUACAAAAGGAUACUAUGUUUGUUGUCCCUUUUACAUCCUAUUUUAGACAAAACAAUGACAGAGAGAGUAUCAGGAAUGCACAAGUUCUGAAAACUAGGUUGUUUUUUCUUAAACAGAUCUGAUCAUCUACACCUCUCAAAUUUCUAAACUCUUGGGAUCAACUUAAAUAAAUCUUCACUCAUUUGAAUAACUAUACAUUUUCAAUGGUUGAAAGUUAGGUAGAAAAAGUAUAUAAAAUGAUUCAUAAGUCAAAACAUUUCUUAUAAAAGGAACAGUUUAAACAAAAUCCGGGUAAUAAAAAGAGGAAAUGUACUGAAUUUUAAAACUUCUGAAAAUAGCGUCUUUUCUGGACCACUAUAUAAAAUAUUUAAAAGUUCAGAACUGUUGAAAAACAAAAGUUUAUAUAGAUAAAACAAAACAAGCCCCUCAAGCCCCUACAAAUGUAUUAAAAACAUCUAAAGCCAAAUAAAAGGUAACGGAACUACACAGUUCAGGUUUAAGUGCAUUUUUUGGGUAUAAUUAAACCACCACAUGUAAAAAUUGGCAAUUAAAAUAUAAUUAAAUACAGAUUGGCAAACCCUUUGGCCAUUAUGUAAAUAUUAAAAAGUGAAUUUCCAAUGGAAAAAUAAAAGCUCACAUACAUACAACUACAGAAGCAAA